AAUUAGCCUUGCGAUAUAGAGAUAGAGAAGGAAAAAGGAAAAAGGAAAAAUGAAAAAAAGCUUGCUACACGGAGAUGAGAAGGAGACAGAGUUCGUACCGCCGGCCGGCUAUCACCAUCAUUUUCCCACCACCGUCCGUUCCGUGUCCGGAACCGGCGCCGAUAACCUAAAGGUGCACGCAGGAUUUGAGAUACGGACAUAGAGAGAGAACUACCACUGAUGAUGGCACUUACACUAUGAAAAAAGUUAUGAUUCAGAAUACUAAACAGUUGGAGUUGGUAAGGGAGGAGAUCCGUGUUUCCUCACUGUUCAGUCAUCCCAAUCUGCUUCCACUUCUUGGUCAUGCUAUCAUUUCUGUUAAGAUAAUCACUACUAAAAAAGAAAGAAAACAAGAACUUGACGGCUAAAUUAGAGACUAUCACAGAUACAAAAGAAGCAAUCUUCAAAGGCCAUGCCUGACUUGCUUUAAAUUGAAGGAAAAUUUUAGAAGGGAAAGAAGAAGAGGUGGUGGAGGAACUUUUUGUGAUAGUGUGGAUGUUGUGCAAUUAAAGAAAUUAAUGGCUUUUCAAAUAACAGUACAAAUUGUCUGGUGUGAUGGCCAAAGAGGCUAUAUGUUUUGCUGCAAGAGAUGUCCUUCAAGAUAAACUUUGAUGGAGCAAUGUUUAAAGAACGAAGCACAUUUGGAGUAGGAGUCUUUAUACGAGAUGAUAAUUGGUAGCUCAUUGCCGCAUUGAGUUACAAAGGGAGACCAAUUAUGGAUCUGGAGGAGGCAGAACUAGCAGCAGUUGGCCAAGCUAUUAAUUUUGCAAUUGGAAUAGGUGCAAGAGAUAUCAUCUUAGAGGGCGAUUUAGCAAGUUUUUGCAAUUGGAAUAGGUGCAAGAGAUAUCAUCUUAGAGGGUGAUUUAGCAAGUUUUUUUUGACAAGCUGUGAUCUGAGGAAGAAGAUAAUUCAUGCUGGGAGCUGUGGUGGAGGAAGCAAUAUUAAGAACGAAUCUGUUCAAACCAUGGAAGGUAAAGCAGUUCUAGGUGAGAGGUGAAUCAGCAUGCGUAUUUAUUGGUGUGACUUGCUUAUUGAUUAGCUAAACACUGAUGUAAUGAAUAUGAAUAGUAUUUAAUGCAAGUUAUCUUUGAUUAGUUUAAGGAAAAAAAAAAAAAAGACCAAUACCCCAACAUACUAUAUCUCUCUAAAAUGCUUCCAAAGAAGAAAAGUUUCAGUUGCUCCAUUUACUCCAUGGUGGUUUUGAUAUGAAUGCACUUCCAGUGUGGACCCUUAUGAUCACUAUUACAUUUGUAGAAGUUUUUAUGUUGAUAUCAAUUUCCAAUCAUUAGAUUCAAUCCGUAUGUUGAAGAACCCUAAGCAUGUAAUAAUUCUAAUAAAUUUAUUGCAAAAAUAGGUAGGAGGAUGAUUUCUAAUUUACUGUCUAAAACACUGGUUCAUUAACACUUCUAAUACAUGUUGCAUUGAGUGAUUUAUUUUGAAAAGUUA